CUCUUCUGGUGCAAUGUCUACAAAAUUGACUCUCUGAGUAACAACUGUCUAUUUGGUGCUGUGCUGAAUGUUGUAAGCUCACUGCAGCCUCUGCCUCCUGGGCUCAAGCAAUCCUCCCACCUCAGCCUCCCAAAUUGCUGGGACUAUGGUGCAAACCACCACACCCAGGAGCAUGGCGGGUAUAAUUAACAACACUUCAUUGAAAGAUGAAUAACUGAGGGUCAGAAAGGCAGUCUGCCCAGGAUGGCACCACUGGCAAGUCGAGGGAAUACGGACUUGAUCCUUCACCUGGACCCGAUUCCAAAAUCCACAUCCUUCCACCGUACCAUACUUCCCAUCCACGUGCACAGGAAAAUUCGGCAUCCAUUCAACGUCCUAGCCUGAAUCCCACAGGACUUUAGAGGACCACCAUGGACAGAGGGAUUUGGAAAAGAAUUUCUCUCUACAUCCUGAUUUUUAAUUUCAGGCUGGGAAAUUUAAACGCAAACACAGCAGCAUGUUUAGAAGUCCUGAUUUGCAUUAAAGCCACCUUGCAACUCAGAGCAGAUGAAUCGGGAGUCUACAGCAAGCUGACCUGACACGCGGGUACACCGUGCUCUGGAAGCACAGAGCUGGCCGCGUCCUCCCCGGAGGCCACCUCCACGUGGCUGGGCACAGAGGUGGGGCACAUACUAUUGCUUCCUCUGCCCAGCAGGGCCAAACUAAUUGCUGCUGCCCAGUUCCGGGCACCACACUCUAAGAACUUGCUCCAUAGGCACAUUUGAUGGCUUUGUGGAAAGAAAGGAUGUGGCAACUUAGGCAAAGCAGGGAAAUCAUGGCUCAUUCCAGCUGCUGCUCUGCUCCUGAGGAAAGUGGGCGGUGGGGUCGGCCUGAUUCAGCACAAAGUUGUUUCUGGCCCAGCACAGUUCUCUGUCCAACAGGAUGGAUCCUGGAAGGCUUUGCGUGGGGGGAGCUGGGGAGCAGGGUUACUGCAGUUUAAGAAAAGCUAGACAAAUAAAAACAACAACCUUGACAGCGAACACCAAUCCCCCAAGAUACCCCAACUACUCCAACACGUGCCUCGACCUCACUCAAAAUGCUCUUCCCAGAACCAACUUUAGCCAAGAGCAGAGAAUGCAGCUGCUGGCAAUGCUGGAUUUCAGAAAGGUGGGAGCAGGGACUUGCCGGAAGAUACUCACAGAAGACAGGGGAAGAUCAAUCUGCAGCGUGUCUGCCAAUUUCUGUGGUAUAAAUAUUGUGCAAGGUGGCGUGCACUGACUUGAAAAAUUCCUGAAAGUUUAACAGUUGGUUCCCUCUCUGCUGGGGUCUUUCUGUUUGACUCACAGAUGCCUGAAAUUCCUUACAUGAGGGACAAAGUUUUAGAUCCCCCAAUUAGAGAUGAGCACUGAGGCACUGGGAGAGGUGGCGCCUUCCCAUGGCAUGGGGGGGACUGAGGACCAAUUCUUCAGCACACGUGACUGGUGGGCAGGGGAAAGAUGACCACUCACAGGCAGCGGGGACGCGAAACCUUCCCCUCUUCUGUUCCCGCCAGUCAACCGUCCUGCGUGAACAGAGGGGAAACUCCCUCCCACACCUGACUGCUCACAGAGGUCGUUCUGACGGAAUGCUUUCCACACUCAGGAUUCUCUUUUAAAGGGAGGGGCUGAAAAAGGAAGGAACCAAUGGCUCCCAGAAGGAACUGUUUUCUAAUGUAUUUUCAAAGGGCCAGGGCCUUUUUGGAUCAUAGUUUAAAACUCACACCCCUGGCUGGUGGCGCAACCCAAGCCUGGCACGGGACCAGGUAGCUGGGCGGCAGACGCCUUCCACCUCUUAGCCAUGUCCCCGUGCUAUGCGGGUCACCACUCUGACACCAGAUUUGCAAGAUCUGGGAUGGGGUGACAUUAGAGCUCAGCUCAUUCUAUGCGUGCUCUUUGCAUGUGUCUUCUGGUGGCUGCUCUUCCAGGUUUCUUGACUGCAAACCUACCUUUGACAAUUUGGAAGAACAGGACCACGGGACGCUUCAUACUGUUAGUGUGCUUCACCGUUUUCUGGCUUUUGGGUUAAUUUUCUCCCCAGUUAGGCCAAAAGCUCCCUGACGGCAGGGAUCUUACCCACGGAAGAAAGAAAAGGAGUGCUUACCAGUUCCUCCAGGUGGCCCAGGAGCAGCACGGUGAGUCAGGGAAUG